UGAGUAAUGUCUGGGAAACUGCCUGAUGGAGGGGGAUAACUACUGGAAACGGUAGCUAAUACCGCAUAACGUCGCAAGACCAAAGAGGGGGACCUUCGGGCCUCUUGCCAUCAGAUGUGCCCAGAUGGGAUUAGCUAGUAGGUGGGGUAACGGCUCACCUAGGCGACGAUCCCUAGCUGGUCUGAGAGGAUGACCAGCCACACUGGAACUGAGACACGGUCCAGACUCCUACGGGAGGCAGCAGUGGGGAAUAUUGCACAAUGGGCGCAAGCCUGAUGCAGCCAUGCCGCGUGUAUGAAGAAGGCCUUCGGGUUGUAAAGUACUUUCAGCGGGGAGGAAGGGAGUAAAGUUAAUACCUUUGCUCAUUGACGUUACCCGCAGAAGAAGCACCGGCUAACUCCGUGCCAGCAGCCGCGGUAAUACG
rnacentral:rRNA from 1 species